rnacentral:rRNA from 1 species
AUUGAACGCUGGCGGCAUGCCUUACACAUGCAAGUCGAACGGUAACGGGCCUUCGGGUGCCGAUGAGUGGCGAACGGGUGAGUAAUGUAUCGGAACGUACCUUUCAGUGGGGGAUAACGUAGCGAAAGUUACGCUAAUACCGCAUAUUCUGUGCGCAGGAAAGCAGGGGAUCGCAAGACCUUGCGCUGAUUGAGCGGCCGAUAUCAGAUUAGCUAGUUGGUGAGGUAAAGGCUCACCAAGGCGACGAUCUGUAGCGGGUCUGAGAGGAUGAUCCGCCACACUGGAACUGAGACACGGUCCAGACUCCUACGGGAGGCAGCAGUGGGGAAUUUUGGACAAUGGGGGCAACCCUGAUCCAGCCAUGCCGCGUGAGUGAAGAAGGCC